UGAACUGAAAGAACAAAUCGCCUACUUCAGGCGGUGGCAAGCGUAUGGAAAUUAUAUUAGAACUUCAGCAAAGUGCACAGCUGCAUAAUAGAGAAGCCGGCACUCAGAUUGACAGGCAAAUAAGCCAGCUUGUGGAAGGGGCCUCUGGGUGGCAGCUCUGGGCUUUUGGGUGUUGGACAACCAUAGGCAAAACUGAAAUGGAACAGGGGCAGAAAAUAGCACACUUUUACUCUACGCAACUGUUGCUUUUUCAUGAUCUUCAGGAAUUUUACUGGGAUAAUUAUCCAAAUAAAUUGCAAGCAUUCUAUCCAAAUGGAGCUCUUUCUGAGAUGAAGAGAAUUCUCAAUGUCAAGAUUUGAACAAGAAGAGAAUGGAAUACACAAUAUGGACAUCCAUAAAAAUUCAUCAGAGAGCAUUUUACUACUGAGCUGCAAAGGCUGGAGUGCAGUGGCACCGUCUCAGGUCACUUCAACCUCCGCCUCCUGGGCUCAAGCGAGUCUCCCGCCUCAGCCUCCUGAGUACCUGGAAUUGCAGGUGCCCAUCACCAUGCUCAGCUAAUUUUUGUAUUUUUAGUAGAGACGAGGUUUCACCAUGUAGGCCAGGCUGGUCUCGAACUCCCAACCUCAAGUGAUCUACCUGCCUCAGCCUCCCAAAGUACUGGGAUUACAGGUGUGAGCCACUAUGCCCUGCUUCUUAUAGCCUUUUUUAUUAAUCUAUUUUUUCCCAACUUCUUGGUCUAAAUAAAUCUGAAUUUUUCAACUAGUUUGCCUCAUGCAAUUUUCUCCUCUAUUGAUUCUCAAGGCAUGAAUCAUCAAAGCGGUCUUGUCAAAAGGAAACAUUAUUUUUUUACUAAAAUUAUGAAGAAAUUGAAGCAAAUGUGAUUUCAAAGACCUAACUUUAUCCAAUUUUCUACUUUUUUCCAAGCUCUACAUUUUCACAGUAAAACUUCUGUUUUAUCUUUUAACAACAUGAUAAAGAAAAACACAGAUGGAAGAACAUUGAGGGGGAAUUCCUAAAUGGGAGCAGUUAGCAGCUAUGAAAAUGUAGAUAUUCAAGAAGAAAAGAAAAAGUAAGCAAAACUGAAUCAUGAGACCAUAGAAGAGUCAAAAAAAUGUCAAUUUAUCUCAGCUUUCUGCAAACUACAACCCAUGGGCCAAAUUCAAGGUCUGUUUUUGUACAAUCUACACAUUAAGAAUGGUUUUUACAAUGAUACGUGUUAGAAAAAUGUUUAGAAAGUCAUAUUUUAUGAUGUGAAAAUUGAUAAAAUGUUGUUGUCCAUAAAUAAAGUUUUAUUGGAACACCA
ensembl:lncRNA MIR99AHG mir-99a-let-7c cluster host gene